CCCUUAGAUGUUCUGGGCCGCACGCGCGCUACACUGAUGAACGCAACGAGACGACCUGUACCGAAAGGCAUGGGUAAACUUGUGAAAGUUCAUCGUGAUGGGGAUAGAUUAUUGCAAUUAUUAAUCUUCAACGAGGAAUUCCUAGUAAGCGCGAGUCAUCAGCUCGCGUUGAUUACGUCCCUGCCCUUUGUACACACCGCCCGUCGCUCCUACCGAUGGGUGAUCCGGUGAAUGAUUCGGACUUCAGCGGCUCCCCUGGGGUGCGCCGGAGAAAGUUUUGUGAACCUUAUCACUUGGAGGAAGGAGAAGUCGUAACA
rnacentral:rRNA from 1 species